rnacentral:lncRNA from 1 species
GAUUUUUAAUACUCAGUCAGUGGUAGGGUACUGUCAAUAAAUGGGUUAACAAGGAUAACAAUAAUUAGCCUGCAUGGCAGGCGGUAUUUCCCAGGCUUGCCCAAUUUUAGGAACCGCUUGCCAUGCAGGCUAAACAAUAAUAGGAUGUUUCUGAAGGACUCGUUCAACGCCCUGUAGUUUGUCUUUUGCUGUCAAAGGCAGCAUUAUUGCUCUGUCGGUAACC